rnacentral:rRNA from 1 species
GAUGAACGCUAGCGAUAGGCCUAACACAUGCAAGUCGAGGGGCAUCACGUGAAGUAGCAAUACGGAUGGUGGCGACCGGCGCACGGGUGAGUAACACGUAUGCAACCUGCCUUCAACAAGGGGAUAACCCGUUGAAAAACGGACUAAUACCCUAUAAUACAGGGGUCCCGCAUGGGGAUAUUUGUUAAAGAUUGAUCGGUUGAAGAUGGGCAUGCGUUCCAUUAGCUGGUUGGUGAGGUAACGGCUCACCAAGGCAACGAUGGAUAGGGGAACUGAGAGGUUUAUCCCCCACACUGGUACUGAGACACGGACCAGACUCCUACGGGAGGCAGCAGUGAGGAAUAUUGGUCAAUGGACGCAAGUCUGAACCAGCCACGUCGCGUGAAGGAAGACGGCCCUACGGGUUGUAAACUUCUUUUGUAAGGGAAUAAAGUGCCCCACGCGUGGGGUUUUGCAUGUACCGUAUGAAUAGGAUCGGCUAACUCCGUGCCAGCAGCC